rnacentral:tmRNA from 1 species
GGGGAUGAUCCGGUUUCGACGGGGAUAGCGGAGGCCGGAUAAGCGAGCCGCAGGCCCUGUACUGCGUUACAAACGGGGAAAUUAAAAAGAACUGACGAAAACAAGUUCGCUUUCGCGGCUUAAUGCCGCGCGUCGGCCCUGAUCGCCUGCGGAUCAGGAUCCUGGCGUCAUUUUCGCAGGGAACGAGUUCAGCCUAAGCUUUGCCGCUGAUCCCGUAAUCAUGAAGCUACCGGUCGGUCUGCUUGUCCGUGGACAGGGCGGCCGGGAAUCUGACCACGGACUGCGCUCGGAGAAAGUCUUGUCAAUGGAUCUUCGGACAGGGGUUCAACUCCCCUCAUCUCCACCA